rnacentral:rRNA from 1 species
CCUACGGGGGGCAGCAGUGGGGAAUAUUGCACAAUGGGGGAAACCCUGAUGCAGCAACGCCGCGUGAGUGAAGGAGUAUUUCGGUAUGUAAAGCUCUAUCAGUAGGGAAGAAGAAAGACGGUACCUGACUAAGAAGCCCCGGCUAACUACGUGCCAGCAGCCGCGGUAAUACGUAGGGGGCAAGCGUUAUCCGGAUUUACUGGGUGUAAAGGGAGCGUAGACGGCUGUGCAAGUCUGAAGUGAAAGCCCGUGGCUCAACCCCGGCGAGCCGUUGAAACUGGCGGGCUGGAGUUGGAGAGAAGUACGCGGAAUGCGCGGUGUAGCGGUGAAAUGCUUAGAUAUCGCGCAGAACCCCGAUUGCGAAGGCAGCGUACCGGCUCCACACUGACGCUGAGGCACGAAAGCGUGGGUAUCGAACAGGAUUAGAUACCCGUGUAGUC